rnacentral:lncRNA from 10 species
AUGUACUCCCUACAGACCUGCCUACAGGAUGUGAUUCCAAUAAAUAAACCAGGGCACCUGCUGGUUCUCAAUACAUACUUGAGAUCCUAACAACUUGGAAGAAGAAACAAAAAUGUCUUCAAAGGAACAAGAAUUUGGCAUUUCAUUGACAACUCUGGAACACGGAAUACAACAAGACAUGUCUUCAGAAUUCUUAGAUGUAUUUUCAACUUUGAAUUCUAUACUGAAACUAUGAACCCUGAGGGCAGAAAAAGUAUUCAAGAACUCAGGAAGUAUCUCCAAAAACCCACACAGAAUAUUACUCAAAGAUCUGCUGGUGGCAGAUGAUGGCAUAAACCAAGAAAGAAGAAGCACUGAGUCCAAAAUGGUAGUGACAGAAAUGAGUGCAGCUGAUCUUGAGUGUGAUUAGCCAGGUUAAAGUAGGCCAAAGGAAAAUUCUGGAAAGAGAUAUCUAAGAGAGACGUGUCCAGGAAAAAGAGAACUUGAUGUAUAAAUAAUUUUAAAAACUGAAAAAAGUGAGGAAAACAAAUGCAAGUUAUGGGACAGAUAAAAGACUGGCAAUAAGUAAUUCCAGGGAGAGUACAACCCAGUGUACCAAUUGGUAAAUAAUAUUAAAUUAUAUAAUACAAACACUGCUUACAGAUGUUUCACUUUUAAAAUCAAUCCAUUGGCAGAUUUAAUAAUGGAUGCAGAAGAAUUAAAUGGCUUCGCAUUUAUUUUAACAAAGUGAAAGUAAGACUUUUGGAGGUAGAAGAAGGAGAGCUGGGGAAAGAUAUUUUCUCAUUUCAUAGAGAAAGGCUUCAGAACAUGCCCACGUGAUGGACAAUAUAUAAAGGUAAAUGUUUAUUAUUUAAAUAAUAAUGCUAUAUUAGGCAGUGUGAACUAAAUACUUACUAUAAUAAUAAUGUGAGUUACUAGUGUAAAAAUCAAGAAUAAAUAAAAAGUGAUAAAACAUAAUUUAGAAAUGUGAAUAUAAUCAUCAGAUAUAAAUAAUAAAUAAUUAAAAUAAUUAAAUAGAUUUCCUUUAGGUUGCAGGACUGCAAAUUGGGAAUGGUGAGGGUUUUUUUUCCCCUACAAAUCCUUUAUUAAUUGCAUUUUAUAUGUGUGAGUAUAUUAAAAAUUUAAAAACUAAAUUAAACAACAUAAGUAGUAAAAUAAUACAUAGCUUAUAGAAAUAAAAAUAAAAUUUUAAUGCCAAUUUAAUGUAAAAGUAGAAUUUCCAGGCAUUUCGAAGAUGCUUAUAGCUUCCUUUUUCUGUAUUCUCUUAUUAUCAAGUCUCCCUAGACAUAAUAUAGUUAAACAGUUUUCAUCUCUUUUCUCAAAGCUGGAUUCUUAGGAGCAAUUUGUACAAAAUGAUCCUGAGUAUCCCAGUCUUCUUAUGUAUGUUGUCUUUUUAAAGAUACAAUGCAGGUCAAUUCAGGCUUUUGAUUUACAACGCCCACUUCUCUGCUAGUUUGAGUUUCCAACUUAGUAGUACAGGACAACUGUCAGUUCCUAGAAAAUAUAAGCCUUACAUUUUGUUCUAAGGCCUGAAUUUUUCUCUUAACUAUUAAAAUUUAUUUUAAACAUAACAGCUUAGAGUAACUUAAAUUCAUGCUGUUAAACAUACACACACAGUCAAAAUCUGAUAAGGCACAUGUAUUUAAUUUCAGUGACUCUGACAUCUACUCUGUUCUUCAUGAAGAUGAUGAAUGGUACAUUAUAGCUCUUUUGUACAAAUAUUUGGUUUUGGUCCCCUUGAAAAUGACCUUAAAAUCACCUGGGGCUAUUGUUAAAAAUGCACACAUGCCCACUGCAUCCUCAGUCUUACUAAAUCAAGAAUAGCAAUCUCGAUGAGUAAUUCGAUUAGUGAUCUCGAUUAGUAAUUCCUGCAGAGCACAGGAAUCAAUUUCAAUGAAAAAUUUUCUCUGUGAUUUUUCAAUAUUUUUAAAUGUUUCCAAAUCUUUAGUGCCCCCUCUGCAAAGUCCGGACUUGUCUCUUAGUUUGAACUUUAGUAAAAUGUAAAGCUUAAGAACAGCAUUAGAAUUGUUCCCAUUCGUUCAAUUGAUCCACUCAACACAUAUAAUAUGCAUCUUCUAACUGUGGGCACUGUCCUGAGUCCUGGACACAUGAACUAACAAAAGAGCUCGCCUUAGGAGUGAGGCAGGGUCUUAGGCAUAUCAGAGAGGACAUUCAUGACUUAUGUUGGCAAGUUUAAUAUGACAUAUAAGUGAAUAUUAAUUUCUCCAUUGCACCCUUUGUGAGUUUCUGAGAAAAUAAAUAACAUAUAUAUGUGUGAAUUACAAAUACAAAUAUAUAUCCCUUGAAUGGCCUAGGGUAAACAGAUAAAAGUUGUUGUUUGUUAGAGUAAAAUCCUAACUGAACAAAUGGGGUAAUUUUAUAUGCAUUGUACAAUUCCAGAUCAACUCUGGUAAACCUCACCAGGAGUAAGGAUUUUUGUUGUUUAUGUGUAAGAUUGCCGAUACAUUUUAUUUUAUUUUGAUGACAAAGCAACUUGGUUUUGACUACUGAAUUGUUAAGUUUGCCUCUGCUAUUUUCAAUUCCUCUGUAAUUUAGGGAUUGUGAAUAUCAGUCAGAGAAAAACUGCAGUGGGACUUGAAGCCCUGAUGUGCUGUUCGGUCAGACUUUUUUUUUUCCUGAAUUUUAAAGAUAGAGUUUCUCUAUUGUAGGAAAACAUAUCUUAGUUAUUUUUUAUUUUAAAUACAUUCCUCUGGAGGAAGAACAAAAAGCAAAGCAAAGAAAAACAAAACAUAGCUUUUUCUAUGUUGUUUUAUACUUAAUAUCUAAAGCUCUUCAUGAAAGCAAGAAAUUUUGACCUUAAGACUAUUCCUGAAUAUAUGUAUUCUUGAAUAUAAUAUCAUAUAUAUUACACAUAUCUGUUAUGAAAGCCCAAAUAAACUGCACAUCUAUAUCUAUUCAUACUGCCACUUGAAUGAAAGCACAUUCAAGGUAAAAUGUUUCUUUGAAUAAAAAAGCUUGGCAAAUUCCAUUGACUUUCAAGUUCUUUUUUUCUUUUCUUUCUCACCUUAACUCUUAAAUAGCCAUUUGCUUUGGUGAUCAUUUUACAUUUAGCUCAGUAUUGUCCAUUUACUACCAGC